GCCUGUGGCACAAGGGGUCAGUGUGUUUGGCUCGAAACCAGAAGGUUGGUGAUUCGAGCCCACACAGGGAUG